rnacentral:rRNA from 1 species
UACGUAGGGUGCGAGCGUUAAUCGGAAUUACUGGGCGUAAAGCGUGCGCAGGCGGAUUGUUAAGCAAGGUGUGAAAUCCCCGGGCUUAACCUGGGAACUGCAUUUGUGACUGCAAGGCUAGAGUAUGGCAGAGGGGGGUAGAAUUCCACGUGUAGCAGUGAAAUGCGUAGAUAUGUGGAGGAAUACCGAUGGCGAAGGCAGCCCACUGGGUCAAUACUGACGCUCAUGCACGAAAGCGUGGGGAGCAAACAGG